GUGAAUUAUUAAUAAUAAAUUCCACAUUCUUUGAAGAGAGAUUAAACAUUACGUUACAUUGAAAAAUGUUGCUGCAAAAGGAACAUCAGCAACCCUUGAUGUCUUAUGUAGUGCAGCAGCAUCUUUAGAAGAGGCUGCUUCCCUGCUACCACAGGCAUGCCGUCCUCCCUCAAGCAUCUUUAGAAGAGGCUGCUUCCCUGCUACCACAGGCAUGCUUCUUCCCUCCAGCAUCUUUAGAAGAGGCUGCUUCCCUGCUACCAAAGGAAACCCUCAGGAUUGCAGUGGUGCACAUUCAACUUCAACAAAGCCACCCAUGGACUGGAAUUCCCAAUGCUUAAUGUCUAUACCUCUAUUGCUGAACAGUGUGUAUCUGCAUAGAUACAAAAACUUAUUUAAUAAUUAU